rnacentral:rRNA from 1 species
GAACUUAAGCAUAUCAAUAAGCGGAGGAAAAGAAACUAACAAGGAUUCCCCUAGUAACUGCGAGUGAAGCGGGAAGAGCUCAAAUUUAAAAUCUGGCAGCUGAUGGGCUUGUCCGAGUUGUAAUCUAGAGAAGUGUCUUCCGCGCUGGGACCGUGUACAAGUCUCUUGGAAUGGAGCAUCAUAGAGGGUGAGAAUCCCGUCUCUGACACGGAAUUUACCGGUGCUUUUGUGAUGCGCUCUCGAAGAGUCGAGUUGUUUGGGAAUGCAGCUCAAAAUGGGUGGUAAAUUCCAUCUAAAGCUAAAUACAGGCGAGAGACCGAUAGCGAACAAGUACCGUGAGGGAGAGAUGAAAAGGACUUUGAAAAGAGAGUUAAACAUUACGUGAAAUUGUUGAAAGGGAAACGAUUCAAGUCAGUCGCAUUAGCCAGUAAUCAACCCUCGCAAUUAACCUUGCUGGGCUUACUUUCUGGUUGAUGGGUCAGCAUCAAUUUUGACCGUCAGAGAAAGGCUUUGCGGGGAAUGUGACAUCUUCGGAUGUGUUAUAGCCCCAACUCGCAUGUGAUGGUCGGGAUUGAGGAACUCAGCACGCCUUUACAGGUCAGGGCCGCCAGAAUGGCCCAUGUAAACGUAGCUUAGGAUGCUGGCAUAAUGGCUUGAACCGACCCGUCUUGAAACACGGACCAAGGAGUCUAACAUGCCUGCGAGUGUUUGGGUGGAAAACCCGAGCGCGAAGUGAAAGUGAACUUGGUUGAGAUCCCUGUCGUGGGGAGCACCGACGCCCGGACCAGACCUUCUGUGACGGAUCUGCGGUAGAGCAUGCAUGUUGGGACCCGAAA